GUCACUCAACACUUCAAUUUUCCCAAAAUUGAUAUUGACUAGCAAUGGUACCUGAUUCAUAUAGGAUUUCUGUUCUUUAAUUGAAGCAUGUCAUCUACAAUAUAUUUCAGAUGCAGUUGUUGUCAAUUGAAUGUACAAGGAUAAUGGUGGGGCUUGGACAUCUCUAUGAGGGGAUUCAAUAUUUCAUCACCUUUGAUACCUUGAAUAAAUGUUGCAGUGAGCUUCUUUUGUCAGAUAAUGAGGAUGAGGUUGGCAUGAAAAUUGCAAGAAUUCCAAAGCUUGAGUUGGUGUCUCCAGUAUUGAGGCCUGGAAAUGUUACCAUUCUAGAAAUUCUUAAAAUCAUCAACUGCUCUUGCUUAGCAACUUUAUGAGACUGGAUAGAUAGCUUGACAUCUCUUAAUGAGACUCAAAAUCCUAUUGGCCCUGAAUUGAAAUCCCUGCUAGAGGGGGGCUUCAAUGUUCCUGAAAAGGAUAUUGACCAUCAACAAAUGAUCAUAAAGGAUUUUUAUUCUUUAAUUCAAGCAUGUCAUCUAUAAGAUAUUUCAGUUCGACUUCCUAAACUCAUCACAAUUAAUUUUGAAAGAUGUUCAAGAUGCUCGACUUUGCCAUGCUUUGUUCAACUUCCUUGCCUCAAGUCUCUACAGCUUGAUGAUCCGGAAAAGGUGGAGUACAUGGAGUGUUCAUCAAAAGGGUCGUUCUUCCCAUUUCUUCAAAAACUCAAUCUUACUCGAAUGCCAAAGUUGAAGGAAUUAUGGAGGGACUUACCAACACAACCAACUCCUUCAUUUCCUUAUCUUUCACAAUUAGAUAUCAAGUAUUGUAAGGAGUUGGUGUCCUUGGAAUUGCUUUCAUCUCCUCUACUUUCUAGUUUAAAGAUCUCGCAAUGCCCUGAGCUCACAUCCUUACUACUGCCUUCACCUCCUCUUCUUUCAAAAUUAGAGAUAGGGAGUUGUGAUGAGUUGGCAUCCUUGGAACUGCAUUCAUCUCCUCUUCUUUCUAGUUUAGACAUCCUUGCAAGUGUCUUCGUUACCUUGUCUUAAGAAACUACUAUUGUCUACAGUGAGAGAAGAGAUAUUGCGGCAGUUAAUGCUUAUUAUUGGUUCUCCGUUGGAGUCUUGUCCAUAUGGAAGAUAUGUGAUUUGAUAUUUCUUCCAGAUAAGCUGGUGUAUUGACAUGUUUCAACUCUUCAAUAUCUCUCAAUUUACAAUUGUUGUGGUUUGACAACAUUACCACACAGGAAGUCUCACCUCAUUUACACACCUUAAUAUAUACAAUUGUGAGAACCUUGCAGAAAGAUGUUGAAGGGAACCGACCCAAGAUUGAUUAUAUCCCAUAAAUUAACAUGUACCUACAUUAUUGAAGAGUGAACUUAUACAGAAUGUCAUUUCAGAUUUCACCUUCCUUAAGAAGCUUAUGAUUGGCAUAAUGCCUAAAGGAUGCUAAAAGGGGACAAGUCUUGGGUUACCCUAAAGAUUUCACAUGGCACAUAAAUUCAUAUCUAUUAGAUGACUAGUGCAGAAAUGACUUUUGCUCUGUUUUCAACUCAGGUCUGCCAGUGGACAUAUAUAUUUCAGUUUGCUGUAAAACGUGAUAAUGGUUGUGCUUGGACAUCUCCACCAGUGGAUUCAAUAUGUCAUUAACUUUGAGACCUUGAAUAAAUGUUGCAGACAACUUUUGUCGUAUAAUGGGGAUGAGAUUUGCAUGCAAGUGGCAAGGACUCAGAAGCUUGAGUUGAUGUCUCCAUCAUUGGAGCCUCAAAAUGUUACCAUUCUGGAAAUUCUUAAAAUACCGUUCUUGUUUAGCAACUUUAUCAGAUUGGAUAAACAUCCAAAGAUCUCUUAAUGAGCUACAAAAUGUUGUCUGCCUUGAAUUUGAAUCACCGUGCUCCUCAGUUCUUCAAUGUUUCCAGAGUUGAUAUUGACCGAUUUCACCUUGUUUAAGAAACUUGAGGUUUAUUCAUUGGCCCAAAGGUUUCUUACAUGCCGUUGCAAAUAAGGAUGAUGGUGAGGAUGAGCUGAAUAUUGCCCAUGCCUUGGAAAAAAGUUAUUGAGGGUUGGUGCAAAGGCUUACAGCACCUAUGGAGCUCUGAGUUUAUUCUUGCCCUCUAGUACAUCACUACCAGAAGAGAUGCAUUCCCUUAGCACCCUACAGAGACUAAUACAGAAAGCCACUCCAGGAAAACUAAACCACUUCAAAUCUUUGAUAUGAAAAUGGGCAGGGCUGAUCGCUUUCACAAUAUAUGGAUGGAAAACUAAACCACUUUGGUGUUCAAUAUGAAAGUGGGUAGGGUUGAUCAAUUUCACAAUAUAUGGAUGGUUGCUUAUAUAAUGAAGUUCAUUUAUUUCCGAAUAUUAAUGAGAGAAGGGGAAGAUGUUGAUUUUUAUGUUGAAGAUCAUA